GACACUUUGGCCGAGCGGUUAAGGCGUUAGACUCAAGCUACUAGCUUUCUCUUCUCACAAGAGAGUAUUCUAAUAUCGCAAGAUGCAAGGGUUCGAAUCCCUUAGGUGUCA
rfam:Sugiyamaella lignohabitans strain CBS 10342 chromosome B, complete sequence.